ACUUUACUGCGUCGUUUUCUACGUUUCAUGUGCGUCGGUAUCUCCAGUACACUUGGUGUUUCCUGUUGUCGGCAGCAGUCACUACUCAAGGUUACUAGAAAGAGUUGUCGACAACGUAAAAAUGCAAAUUAAACUAAUGACCGAUUAAUCAAGUAAGGUGUACAAAAACUGAAACAAUUUAAAACGGAGGCAGAUCCGCGUUUACAUACACAUACACACACUCACACACACACACACAAUGCACGUUCAAGCUACAAAAACCCUGGAAUUGCUCGAUACACACGCAGACGAUGGGCGAGUUGAACGAUGUAAGAAGAAACGUCGCUGCUGCUGUGCGAUUGAUGAAUGGGACUCCUCGGAAGCAGCCUCAGAAGAUUAAUCGGGUGGAUGGGUGGGUGGAGCCUGGCUGCACGUUUUCAUGAGUUUUCGUGUGUGUUUCUGGGCAGGCUUCCACUGCUCCGAAGCAGAAUUAGGGUUUGGGUGGUGAGGGCCGAGGUGCUCACUGCAGCAGCCUGAUGACAACGGAGUAUCUGAGAAUCGGUGCGAGUCGACGGGACCCAUAUCGUCUUACUGAAUCCACACUGACUCCAGCAGAGACACACGUUGUAGUGGUGAUCAGUCUGCCGAUGUGUCUUCCUGUCUUUUGAGCCUUCUUACGUUCAUUCUAGCGCAGAAAUGCACACCUACACAGAAUAUGCAGUUCUUCUCUCGCAUGUGAAAUAUGCCAACGAGUGAAAUGACAUCCACGUUGACAUCAAUCUGGUGACUCUGCGUUUGAAGUGGCGCAAGGUCGAGGCGGAAAUCACAGAAAAACAGAACCGGACGUCGAUUCCCCUGCUGACUUCGUUCGUGAGGACAAACCCAGUAAGGAACGGGUCAUUCGUGUUCCUUUAACAUCAUCAUGGCUGACAGUCGACAACCCCUGAGGGAGAACUGUCACAGUCGGCAUGGUCACUUCAACAACAAUGAUUGGGAAAUUCUCAAUGCAGCUCUAUGUAAUGGGGCACUCGUCGAGCACCAGAAGCUAGCAGCUCUUAUGGCUUUGAUGCACGCUGUAGGAAUGGUGGCCAUUUUCAUAUCCAACCCCGAAGUCGCUCUGGUGGUGUAGCUCUCCAGUCACAGUGCAUCUACGGCUUCACACGCAUGCAUGCUGUUCACAAAACUUGGCGCCGAGUAGAUGGUGAUUUGAUCACAUAAGAACUUGGAUACAAAUCUGGAUGCUGAUCGCAGAUGUGCCAUAACACCGGUAAACAUCUCCCUCUCUCUCUAAGGGUAUUUGAGUCGGAAUUUUAACCCUUCUCUGGCGUUAUGGCGUUACGGUCGUAGAAACUCUGGCGUCUAUCAUUAUUGCAUCACAAAUAUCACUGCAACGACCAUGUCUGAUCAAGGUUGGAUUUAAGCAGAAGGUCAAAGGCUGUUAUCUUCCUUAGGAUUGAAGUCAUGGGUUUUAUCUUUCUCAACUCUCCACAGGUUGGUCGACAUGAGUGGGAAGUUUCUGAAUCUCUUAAGGUUCAAUGGCGCGAUUCUUUUUUAAGAUGGCUCCAAAUGUGAGGUCGGUGAAAUGCAUGCUUUUUCUGGCACUGAUGUUUCAUGACAGCAAAAGCGUCAGGAGGCCAAGCCUCUGCAGGGGAUUGACAUUCACAGGCUUCGCCAUCGUGAGGAGACAUUUCACAAUCUUAACAUAAUCUCCUCAAAUGAUUCUUACAUGAAUCUUUCUCUAUUUCACACAGGCUGGUGUCUUGUUGAGAGAUCAUUGAAAGGUGCUUUGAAUAAGCCGCACCGGUCCAAGCCGAAGGACAGACGCUCCAGCUGGAAGGAAUUGCCUUUCACGCCUAAUGAUUCAAAAGUAUGUCCGUGCAAUGCUCCUGAAGAAAAAAGUGAGGAGGAGGCUCUGCUUGUUGGGACUCUGUCCUGGAUGUGUACAAACGCAUUCUCCUGUCAGGAAAGUUAUCGCAUCUUCAUUUAUGUUUGAGAAGUCUGGUAGAAUGCACUUCAAUCUUCACGUCUCUCCACCUUUGCCGUAUGUUUUUCUCUUGGUUAAAUUCCACAUUCGGUGAGAGAAACUUCCGAUCAUUGAUUGCUCGCUGAUACUCUCCAAAUCACGCACAGAACCUAAUUCCUUGCUCAUAAACAUUGUGCAAAAAACUCCGUUAACUCAAUAGUAAAUGGUUUUGAUUCUGGCAA